rnacentral:rRNA from 1 species
UACGGAGGAUCCAAGCGUUAUCCGGAUUCACUGGGUUUAAAGGGUGCGUAGGUGGAAUGACAAGUCAGUGGUGAAAACCUGCAGCUUAACUGUAGAACUGCCAUUGAUACUGUUAUUCUUGAGUACAUUUGAUGUGAGUGGAAUGUGUCGUGUAGCGGUGAAAUGCUUAGAUAUGACACAGAACACCAAUUGCGAAGGCAGCUCACAAAACUGUAACUGACACUGAGGCACGAAAGCGUGGGGAUCAAACAGGG